rnacentral:lncRNA from 1 species
CUAAAAAACUGUCAAAUGGUAACAGCCCUACUUUCUACGCCAGGAAAACCCACUGUUGAGUUAGUUGGCUCUGAUUCCAAUGGUCUCAUCAGCUUUCUGAACGUAGGUACCUCAGCAGUGCCUCUUCCAAGAUAACAAAAUGAACUUUUAGAGAUUAAAAAAAUACAUUUUGGCAAUUGAAACUCACCAGCGCCUUUCUGCUUCUCCAGGAAGUUGUACCCGUCAGCACCUGCUGAGGGCUUUGUUGUCCAAACUCUGACAGGUAAAAAAAUUCCUGUAGAAUAAAGCCAGACCAGCUGGCUUUGAAGAGAAACCCCCCAGUUUGGGCUGCGUUUGUCUCCUCUCCUUUUCUAUGAAGACCCAGGCUUUCCCCCCUUGAUCGUCAAGCCGUAAGAUGCGUGAUCCCUGUGCACAAGUGUCUGGCAGGCCGAGGUGCACCUGUUCCUGUCACUCUGGAGUAAAUUUAGCUGUAAAGGUAUCACUGACAACCAGACCUUUGUCAGAGCUGGCAAAAGAACACAGAACUGCUGCCCUCCCCCACCCCUUCCAAACCCCUUCGCUGCUCGUUCAAAUGGAAAAUGUCAAAUCGGAAGUCUAUCCAAAAAUCAUUCCUGAAAAAAUGAGAUUGCUUUCAUAUGGUAAAAAGGCACCACUUUCAGAUAAAAACAUAGACCUGAAUGGCAUCAUCCAGUAUCCAAGGAAACCAUAGCAGAUUGGAAGGGAGAAGGUGAAAUGAUAUUAGAUACAUCGUCUGUGAGAGGAGCAACAGCAGUAAUAUCUUAAAGGAGAACCUGGAAUUGAAGGAGAAAGCAACCAACUUUAGGGACAAACAUUGUAUAAUAAUGUUUAGGGACAAAAAUUGUAUAGUACAAUGUGGAGCUUCACAAUGAUGACAUAAGACAAAAAAUUUAAAUUGUGUAUUCUAAAAGAUUUUUUUCUGCCAUAAGAGAAAAACUUAUGGCAUAAAGCAAAGAAGAACUAAAGAGCUUCUUGAAAGUGAAAGAGGAGAGUGAAAAAGUUGGCUUAAAACUCAACAUUCAGAAAACCAAGAUCAUGGCAUCUGGUCCCAUCACUUCCUGGCAAAUAGAUGGGGAAACAAUGAAAACAGUGACAG